UCACUAUUACAAUUAAGGAUAUAAACGAAUCGAACCGGAGCGAACAGAGAGCUACUCGAAUUCGACUCGAAAUGAUAAAUUCGUACUCAAAUUCGGCUCAAAUUCGAAUUAUAUUUGAAAUAUCCUACUCAGAUUCGACUCGACUCGAAUAUUUAUUACUCGAAUUCGAUCCGGCUCGACUCGAAUAUUUAUUCAAACUACUCGCGAACUUCAAAUUCAAGCUCGAAUCCGAGUCUCCACAUAAUAACUAGUUUUAUAAUAAAUAUAAUUAUAAAU
rnacentral:lncRNA from 1 species